rnacentral:sRNA from 2 species
GCACUCGUCAUCGGGGAGUAGCCGCCCUGCCGCCCGGCAGGGGUCCGCGCCAACACGCUUGGCCCUUCACGGGCCAUGGUCCGGACAGCUCCCAGCCUGGCAAGACCGUUGACUGCGCCGACUUCCGCAUUCGGGCCGGGGUCGCGGCGUGGUCACGUUCCGGUUUGCCGGCCCGCAUCGGAUUU